rnacentral:tRNA from 1 species
UACGUCUUGGUGUAUGGUGCACGGUAGCUUUUGAUGCUUAAUGGGGAUAUGUUUAAUUCUGUCGGACGUAA